rnacentral:rRNA from 1 species
UACGUAGGUCCCGAGCGUUAUCCGGAUUUAUUGGGCGUAAAGCGAGCGCAGGCGGUUAGAUAAGUCUGGAGUGAAAGGCUGUGGCUUAACCAUAGUAUGCUUUGGAAACUGUCAAACUUGAGUGCAGGAGGGGAGAGUGGAAUUCCAUGUGUAGCGGUGAAAUGCGUAGAUAUAUGGAGGAACACCGGUGGCGAAAGCGGCUCUCUGGUCUGUAACUGACGCUGAGGCUCGAAAGCGUGGGGAGCAAACAGG